AUAAAAGAUACGACAAUGGGGUAGAUAUACCACUGUUGGAACUUCGGGUUCUCCCCCCAAAAAAAUCCUGCCUACCCCUUACUCCACCCCAUGGGAAAGGGGGAAUAAAUAUAGGAACCUGUAACAAAAAUUCUACUUACCAUCAGAUGUCUUCCUUUCUUCAGCCACCCCAAAUCCAUUAUAUCCCGAUGCUGCUAAUGAAAAUAGUGAAAAGGACCAAACUGCAAACAUACCAGCAAAAAGACAAUAAAAAUUUGACACACCAAAAAUCCAUCCAUGCAGAAUGAAGUUUUAAACUGGAUAUGUCUUUAUGAAGACAACCAAUCAGAGCACUGACGGCAAGUCUCCCCUCCCGCGAUACAGACAAUACUAAUA